UACCGUUUAGCUGGGGAGACGGAGAAAAACAAAACCCAAGGGUGACCUGCGAGGAACAGCAUCCUCCGAAAAUGGAGGAAAAAACCCAUCUCCCUUCGCUACCCUCCCAUCCAGUGCUUCCCACCAACACCCCCCCCCCCGUCCACCCCCUCACCCUGGAAAGGGUGAAACAAACCAACAGCAAUCUCUUGGGGGUGGGGGUGGCGGGGAGUGACAUUCUUAAUGACAUAAAUGGACUGAUGCAUAAAGAAAAAAAAUGCACAUUUCCCCCUUUCUAGUGUAUGUUUGAAGGCCAGAGGGAAGGCUGGAUCAUGAAUAGGAUUUAGAAGGACCUUAGAGAUCAUCUAGCCCAACACCUUUAUUUUUUGAGGAAAUUGUGGCGCAGAGAAGGCCAAGUGACGGGCCCAAGAUUGCACAGGUACCAGUACUCCAAAUCCAUGGCUCAGUGUGCCACAGCGCGGCAGAACAUUAUCUUAAUCCUUGCAUGGAACCGAAGAUGGCAACAUGUUAGGUAGAGUAUCUGAGAAAAUAGGGCAGACUGUCCUAGUAAAUGGAGGGUAACCAGGCAACUGGAGGAGGAAGGGUGCUAGCCGAGAUUUAAAAUCAUGGGACUUGGAAAUGAACUAGAGAUCAUUUAAUCCAACCCCCUCAUUUUACAAAUAAAGAAACUAAGGGGAGGGAGCAGGGCACAUAACUUGCCCAAGCUGUCACUCCGAAAUACUGGGCAGGGCUGGAAUUGAAACCCACAUACUCUUGGGUCAAAAUCCAGUGCUCUGUCCGCAAUGUGGGAAGAAUGUUCAGGAGAUCAGAAGCAUAUAAUAACAAAUAAAAAUAAUACCAAUACGUAGCUAGGACACAAACUUCAAUAACGUAUAGGAAACCAGCAACUGUGCCUGACAGCCUGGUUAGAGGCACAAGGGAAAUGGGCUUUCUCUCCACGUUAAGGAUUGCUCAUAAGCUCAUUUGGUGACUGGGACCUUCCCGGAUCACUCAUCUGUGAAGCAAUUGGCUGGCCUACAUACACAGGCAUGAGGGCUGCGGAGCAGUACCAGAAGCUCACUGUGAUGACAUGUUGGUGACCCAGAUUCACAAGAGACCUGGGGACUGCUGAUCCUCAGGCCAACAGAGACUGUGCCCUUUGUGAAGGUGAGGGGAUGGAUUUCUGGCUCAGAAUGCUAACCAGGCAGGCAAUGUGCCUGGUGAGUCUGUCUCCUUCAAAGGAGAGAAGAAAUGUAAAUGCUCAUAACCAUCAUAGAGCAAGAAAUGGCGAGUGAUGGGAGAGGCAGAGGGAGGAGGAAACAGCAGUCACAUCUGGACCUUAGCCGACUCAAGAUAGAUUUCAAAACAUGGCUACUUAGUAACACUCAAAUACAUACUCUAUCUACCCCAUCUGUCACAAUUCUAGGAUUUUAAAUGUCUUCUCACUGUUCUGCACAGUACUUACCUUCCCUGGAAGGUUUUUGUUUGCUUAUUUUUUUUUUCUCUUUUAUCCCCCAUCAGUAGCAGUCACAUAAGCACUUUAUUAGUACAAUUUUUUUAAAACAACAACUUUAAAACUCCAUUAAUAGGUGGAUGAGAAAAUGAUAGAGAUGCCUUGAUUAAUGCUUUGUGUCACUCAAUCUCCUCCCAUUAUAUUUUUCACAUAAGUCAUUCAGUCUUCAAGCACUGUGAUGUGGUGACUAGAGCACUGGACUUGGAGAAAGGAAGGCCUGAGUUCAAAUCCUGCCUCAGCAGCAUGAUUUAGCUCUAAAGUUCACGAUUCUAUGACUUGAGAUUUGAACCUUGCUCCCUAUGUGGCUCUGGUUUCCAGAAAGCAAGCAUACGAUCCUUGAGUUUUUGGAAAGACAUUGGAUGGAACAGUUGGAUUCUCAAAGCAGCUGAGGACACAAUAGGUUUGACUUCUGUGUCUUCAAAAUAUGCCCCUCACUGUCCUCAUAUUAUCUGUCUUAUUACUAUGGUUUCUGUAGUUUUCUGUUGAUUCUGCAUAUCUUGGGACAUUGCUAGUAGAAUGAAGUCUGGUGCAUGUGCAUACCUCAUCAGCUUGCUUGGAGGGUUCUUUUCAUGUGGAACAUAUUGAGGAGAUGGCUUCAAGGAGAAUUGUGAUAUCAUGUAAAAGAAGUGCCUUGAAGUUACUGUGGAGGGUGCAUGGACAUUUUAUAACUGGUUUGGAUUAGCUAACCAUUUCAAAGGGAGGAGCCUUUAUUAUUAUUAUUAACAAUGAGAAUACUAAUGUCAUUUACAAAGCUCUUUAAGUUUGAAAAGCCCUAUCCAUAUGUUAUCUCAUUUGAUUUUUGUAAUAGCUCUGUGAGGGAGGUGCUAUUAUUCUGGAGGAAAGUGAAACUGAGAGGUUAUUUGUCUUGCCCUAAGAUAAGAUAGAUUGGAAAUGUCUGAGGUGAGAUUUGAACUCAGGUCUUUCUAAUUCCAAGUCCAUGGCUCUUAUCCACCUAUCUAGUUGCUCUUCUGAAGAUACUAAGAGUUCUGGCUAUGCAGCCCAUAAUUGACUAAGUACAUGAUUAGUCAACCAGAACCAGUUUCCAAAUGUCCAUGCAUGCUUUACGGUGUCUCAAAAGCGUUUUCCUUCCACAUUAUCAGGAUUUUCCCAAAACUCAUCUCUCCCAGGGUCCUCCAUGUAGAAAGUAGCAAUUUCAACAAACUCAUGGUGUUGGCACAUAUGCCAGAUCCCCAUUACACUAAAGAUCUUGAACCUAAACUAAAGCUGGAAUAAACUAAAGGUUUAAAGACUAAAAGGUCUCUUACCAAGACCAGGAAAAAUAAUCAUCUUGAUUCUUUCCUUCCCUAUCUGCAAGUUCCAAGCUUGUGAUACUCUGGAGAUACAGAGAGAAGAAAACCCUCCCUGCUCUUCCUAGGCAUCCAGUGGGGCCAAUUCACCCACACCUGUGUGAACUUUUGGAGGAUUCAAGAACAUGGUGUCAUGCUGCCAAUGCGGUGGCAUUACUUUGGCAAGCGCUGAAUGACCACAAACAUGAGCCUUAUUUGAAGGCAACUGAUAUAUACAAUAACAACAUUAUUAAUGGCAAA